rnacentral:rRNA from 1 species
AGAGUUUGAUCAUGGCUCAGAUUGAACGCUGGCGGCAGGCCUAACACAUGCAAGUCGAACGGUAACAGGAAGAAGCUUGCUUCUUUGCUGACGAGUGGCGGACGGGUGAGUAAUGUCUGGGAAACUGCCUGAUGGAGGGGGAUAACUACUGGAAACGGUAGCUAAUACCGCAUAACGUCGCAAGACCAAAGAGGGGGGCCUUCGGGCCUCUUGCCAUCGGAUGUGCCCAGAUGGGAUUAGCUUGUUGGUGGGGUAACGGCUCACCAAGGCGACGAUCCCUAGCUGGUCUGAGAGGAUGACCAGCCACACUGGAACUGAGACACGGUCCAGACUCCUACGGGAGGCAGCAGUGGGGAAUAUUGCACAAUGGGCGCAAGCCUGAUGCAGCCAUGCCGCGUGUAUGAAGAAGGCCUUCGGGUUGUAAAGUACUUUCAGCGGGGAGGAAGGGAGUAAAGUUAAUACCUUUGCUCAUUGACGUUACCCGCAGAAGAAGCACCGGCUAACUCCGUGCCAGCAGCCGCGGUAAUACGGAGGGUGCAAGCGUUAAUCGGAAUUACUGGGCGUAAAGCGCACGCAGGCGGUUUGUUAAGUCAGAUGUGAAAUCCCCGGGCUCAACCUGGGAACUGCAUCUGAUACUGGCAAGCUUGAGUCUCGUAGAGGGGGGUAGAAUUCCAGGUGUAGCGGUGAAAUGCGUAGAGAUCUGGAGGAAUACCGGUGGCGAAGGCGGCCCCCUGGACGAAGACUGACGCUCAGGUGCGAAAGCGUGGGGAGCAAACAGGAUUAGAUACCCUGGUAGUCCACGCCGUAAACGAUGUCGACUUGGAGGUUGUGCCCUUGAGGCGUGGCUUCCGGAGCUAACGCGUUAAGUCGACCGCCUGGGGAGUACGGCCGCAAGGUUAAAACUCAAAUGAAUUGACGGGGGCCCGCACAAGCGGUGGAGCAUGUGGUUUAAUUCGAUGCAACGCGAAGAACCUUGCCUGGUCUUGACAUCCACAGAACUUUCCAGAGAUGGAUUGGUGCCUUCGGGAACUGUGAGACAGGUGCUGCAUGGCUGUCGUCAGCUCGUGUUGUGAAAUGUUGGGUUAAGUCCCGCAACGAGCGCAACCCUUAUCCUUUGUUGCCAGCGGUCCGGCCGGGAACUCAAAGGAGACUGCCAGUGAUAAACUGGAGGAAGGUGGGGAUGACGUCAAGUCAUCAUGGCCCUUACGACCAGGGCUACACACGUGCUACAAUGGCGCAUACAAAGAGAAGCGACCUCGCGAGAGCAAGCGGACCUCAUAAAGUGCGUCGUAGUCCGGAUUGGAGUCUGCAACUCGACUCCAUGAAGUCGGAAUCGCUAGUAAUCGUGGAUCAGAAUGCCACGGUGAAUACGUUCCCGGGCCUUGUACACACCGCCCGUCACACCAUGGGAGUGGGUUGCAAAAGAAGUAGGUAGCUUAACCUUCGGGAGGGCGCUUACCACUUUGUGAUUCAUGACUGGGGUGAAGUCGUAACAAGGUAACCGUAGGGGAACCUGCGGUUGGAUCACCU